rnacentral:misc_RNA from 1 species
AACCUUAUGGACCUGCGGGCGUAUACCUGCGGAAGGAUCAUUACAAGUGACCCCGGUCUAACCACCGGGAUGUUCAUAACCCUUUGUUGUCCGACUCUGUUGCCUCCGGGGCGACCCUGCCUUCGGGCGGGGGCUCCGGGUGGACACUUCAAACUCUUGCGUAACUUUGCAGUCUGAGUAAAUUUAAUUAAUAAAUUAAAACUUUCAACAACGGAUCU